rnacentral:lncRNA from 1 species
CAGAGGCAUCACAGCAUCUUGGCUGAGGGCAGGGACUUGGGAGACAGCCUCACCUGAGUCAGAAUCCCGGUUCUACCACUUGUGGCUGUGUGACCUCAGGUAAGUUACUUAAGCUACCCCUGCCACAGUUUCCCUAUAUCUAUAAAAUGAGGGUUGGCAUGAGUAUUAAAUGAACUUAUCUUUACAAAAUGCUUGGGAGAAUGUGUGGGACAUAGUAAGCCUCACAUAAGUGUUUGUUAAGCAAAAGACAAUAAAAUUAAAAAAGAAAAAGAAGUCACAAGAGCUCCUCUCCUGUAAGAUGGUGCAGAGGAAUGGAGAAGACGAGGCAUGUGCUUCAGGGCCUGAUGAAUGGAAGAGGCCGGGGCUGUCCCAAAAGAGCCGUCACACAGGCUACUGCUUCCUUUCCCAGGCAGGGCAGCCCGAAACCAGCAGAUGUCACAAUCAAGUCCGUGAUGCAAGUCAGUAAACUGUCAUGUUUUGAAGUGUUUUCUUUCCUUUGUGCCCAAUUUUGAGCUGAAAGCAGAGGAUGGAAGUGCUGAGGCUGUGGAGGCAAGAGAUGUCGUGGUCUCUCUCUGACUUUGUAGGUUCACAGAUCCUACAACCAACCAACCAACCAGCCAGCCAGUCAACUAACCAACCAACCACCCAGAUGAGUUUCCGGUCUCUUUCAGCAUAUGGAACAUCAAAUUUGGAAAGCUCAUUUCAGAGAGGAAGCAUUUGUUCCAACCUGCCACAUUCUAGUUGUCUAAACCUUGUAGAUAUGCUUUGGCUUUCUCCAGGCAUUAUUAAUAACAAUCCCUUUUGUUUAGAGAAAGUUUUUAAUUUUUCAAGGCUCACUCUUGAUCGCAUGACAACCCCGUCAGGUACUUAUCAGAUGAGAUGAUACAUAUGAAAGCACCUUGUCCUGGGACAGCUGUGGGGCCGGGAGUGAUAGAGCAGCAUUUUACAAGUGUUGACGUGAAAGCAUAGAGCAGUUAGAUCUGAGCUGGUGUAACACGCUCGGGCUAAGCCCGGGGCUUUGGAAAUAGGCAGACUGGGGCUGAAUACUCCUCUUUGUGGACCAGCUGUGUUAUAUUGGGCCCAAUGCUCAAACUCUCUGAGCCGCUGUUUCCCCAUACGUAAAGGAAAUGGUGACAGUAAUGCUUACAUUCCAGGGAUGUCAUGAGGAUUAAAGGGAAUUGUGAAUGUAGAGCAGAUAACACAGCACCUGCACACUGUGGCACUUAGUACCUGGGAGCCAGUAUUAUUUGGGAAAGGUCAACACAAAGACAGGCAUAUGCUCACCA